GGGGCUGUAGCUCAGUGGUAGAGCACUGGCCUUGCAAGUAUGAUGCCCUGAGUUCGAUCCUCAGCACCACA
rnacentral:tRNA from 1 species